AUCCAAAAUCUAUAAAGAACUCACCAAACUCCACACCCGAAAAACAAAUAAUCAAUCCAGUGAAGAAAUGGGCAGAAAACAUGAAUAUUCAACUGGUAAUAGCAGAACUCUGUGGGCGAGACGGGGAAGAGCAGGGGUUGGGGGCCUCGUCACCAGCCGCUGCCAUUGGCCGAGCUGCCGGAGAGGGGCGCUCGCAGUUGUCGCUGGGGUCUGGCCUUGGCCGCGGCGGUUGGAGCGGUGGAGCCGGCGCGCCAGAGCAACCAUGCAGCAGCGGGCGCGGCGGGCGCGGGGGGCCCGGGGACCUGCGGGGAUGCGUCUGAUGCUUUGCUUCCUGCUGUUGAGCAGCUGCCCUGGGGGCUGGGACGCCAUUAGUCCCCACGGCUGUCUCUUUGCCCGAAGACUCUGCUCUUACCUGGAAGUCUGUGCCAAGGAGGGACAGCCCCAGGUGGGCAUGCAGCCACCCAGGUCCUGGCAAGGAGUCGUCAAGCUGGUCUUCCGAUACUGGCAAGAUGUGUUCAGUGGCUCAUGCCUCAAGGACUGUUCUGGAAAGAUGAUGUCACUCAAGAUGUAAAGACCCAGAAGAUGGAGCACAUGCCCAGGCUCCACGCCUCAGAGACCUACAUGAGGGAUGGGUAGACAGCCUUUCCCACCAAAACCACCACACUGAGGUGUGUGAGGCCUGUGGUCUGUCCACACUGCACGUGUCUGGUAGACAGAGCAACUGGGAAGGGAAGGAGUGUCAGGGAUGCCAGUAGGAGCUGUCAGAAGUCCAGUGAGUAGAAUGAAGAGAGCGCCCAUAUGGUUUCAGCCAGAAGCAAUCCCAUGAUACCUUGGUGAUGUCCACAAAGGGAGGGAAUUGGGAUGCAUGGCUACUAUGUGGUAUCCCUGGCUUGGUCUUCAUCUUCUAGGGACAGGUGCAAAGGGAAACUCUAAUUGUUGUUCCCUAAGGUGAGAGUCCCUCGGGGAUUUUGAAAUUCUUCAUUUGGAUAUCAUCUCUUUUCCUCUGGGCCUUUUCACCAUUUUCUCUUCACCCUUGACUCCUGUUUUCCUUCCCCUCAGAGCCCAGUGACCAAGGUGAACAAGGAACAAUGCUUGAACUCUAGAAUGGUUUCGGAGGUCCUGAACCAAGCAAGAGAUGACCAACCACAGCAAGGCCCCACUGCAGGUGAGGGCCUGCCCUUGUCCAGGAACGCUGAGCCCACCAAGGGCCUGUUUACAGAGGGAGACAGGGUGAAGGAGGGGAUAGACAUUGGUUGAUAAGGAAUGAUUUCACUGAGACUGAUGGAGAACCUUCUGGAAGAGAGGGCCUGGAGGAUGGAAAAGAACAGAGCCAGCCCAAUCUUCACCCUGCCACUGCCCAGCCGUGACCUUGGACACAUUACCUAGGCUCUUCAAGUCCCUUCUUCCACAUCUGUAAAAUGGGAAUGGUAAUAAAGACGACCCUUCCGGUGUUGCUGUGUGGAUC
rnacentral:lncRNA from 1 species